GAAAUGCGAUAAGUAAUGUGAAUUGCAGAAUUCAGUGAAUCAUCGAAACUUUGAACGCACCUUGCGCUCCUUGGUAUUCCUUGGAGCAUGCCUGUUUGAGUAUCAUGAAAUCUUCAAAGUAAAUCUUUUGUUAACUCAAUUGGUUUCUACUUUGGUAUUGGAGGUCUUUGCAGCUUCACACCUGCUCCUCUUUGUUCAUUAGCUGGAUCUCAGUGUUAUGCUUGGUUCCACUCGGCGUGAUAAGUUAUCUAUCGCUGAGGACACUGUAAAAGGUGGCCAAGGUAAAUGCAGAUGAACCGCUUCUAAUAGUCCAUUGACUUGGACAAUACUUUUAUGAUCUGAUCUCAAAUCAGGUAGGACUACCCGCUGAACUUAAGC
rnacentral:misc_RNA from 1 species